rnacentral:rRNA from 1 species
UACGUAGGGUGCGAGCGUUAAUCGGAAUUACUGGGCGUAAAGCGUGCGCAGGCGGUUUGGUAAGUCGGAUGUGAAAGCCCCGGGCUCAACCCGGGAAGUGCACUCGAUACUGCCAAGCUAGAGUAUCGGAGAGGUUGGUGGAAUUCUCGGUGUGGAGGUGAAAUUCGUAGAUAUCGAGAGGAACACCGGUGGCGAAGGCGGCCAACUGGACGAAUACUGACGCUGAGACUCGAAAGCGUGGGGAGCAAACAGG